UACGAAGGGGGCUAGCGUUGCUCGGAAUCACUGGGCGUAAAGGGUGCGUAGGCGGGUCUUUAAGUCAGGGGUGAAAUCCUGGAGCUCAACUCCAGAACUGCCUUUGAUACUGAGGAGCUUGGAGUCCGGGAGAGGUGAGUGGAACUGCGAGUGUAGAGGUGAAAUUCGUAGAUAUUCGGAAGAACACCAGUGGCGAAGGCGGCUCACUGGCCCGGUACUGACGCUGAGGUGCGAAAGCGUGGGGAGCAAACAGG
rnacentral:rRNA from 1 species